rnacentral:rRNA from 1 species
GAUGAACGCUGGCGGCGUGCCUAAUACAUGCAAGUCGAGCGGACGGACGCGAAGCUUGCUUCUCUGUUGUUUGCGGCGGACGGGUGAGUAACACGUGGAUAACCUACUUAUCAGACUGGUAUACCUUCGGGACACCGUAGCUAAUACCGGAUAAUAUUUUUAACCGCAUGGUUUAAAAGUGAAAGAUGGUCUUUCUGUCACUUAUAGAUGGUUCCGCGCUGCAUUAGCUAGUUGGUAAGGUAACGGCUUACCAAGGCAACGAUGCAUAGCCGACCUGAGAGGGGGAUCGGCCACACUGGAACUGAGACACGGUCCAGACUCCUACGGGAGGCAGCAGAAGGGAAUCUUCCGCAAUGGGCGAAAGCCUGACGGAGCAACGCCGCGUGAGUGAUGAAGGUCUUCGGAUCGUAAAACUCUGUUAUUAGGGAAGAACAUAUGUGUAAGUAACUGUGCACAUCUUGACGGUACCUAAUCAGAAAGCCACGGCUAACUACGUG